GUAGCUCUCCGAGCUGCUUGAGAAGGGCCCGUACGACUUCGGUCGUACGGGCCCUUCGGCGUGCGUGGGGGUG
rnacentral:tRNA from 1 species